UAUAUAUAUAUAUAUAUGUAUAAUAAAGAACAUAUAUUCUUUUUCUAGAAUGUGUAUAUAUAUGUAUAACUAAGUCAUUUUGCUGUACAGCAAAAAAUAAUACAACAUUGUAAAUAAAAUACAACACUUCAAUAAAAAAUAAAUUUAAAAAAGAAUAUAUAUUCUUUUUCAGAUUCUUUUCCCUUAUAGGUUAUUACAAAAUAUUGAGUAGAGUUUGCUGUGCUAUACAGUAGGUCCUUGUUGGUUAUCUGUUUUGUAUGUAGUAGUGUGUGUAUGUUAAUCUCAAUCUCCUAAUUUAUCUCUCCCCCGUUCCUCUUUGGUAACCAUAAGUUUGUUUUCUAUAUGUCUGUGCAUCUAUUUAAGCUGAAACCUACAAUUGAUUCUGAGAUUCUGAGUGUUGAAUCAGGGUUGAGAACCACUGGCAACAUGGAGGUUGGAAGUAAACCCAGGUGAGGAAAGGGAAUCACAGAGGCUGAAGACUUGUCCAAGGACACAGCUUGUAAAUGUUGGAGUUGAAUUUGAAUUCAGGUAAUUGAGCUCCAAAUUCCAUGCUCUCAGUAGGUCACCUCUCAAAAGAAGAAUUUCCUUCAAACAUCUUGCAGUAGUAAUUAUUUUUAUUUAUUUGUUUGCUUUAUAUAAUUCUACAAGCUGAGGGUCAGUUUACAGAACAAGUGGAACUGCCUUAUUCAAGGUAAUUACUAGUUGUUUGCAAAUGCUUUAAGAAUGAAGCUUUGCUGCUGCUGCUGCUAAGUCGCUUCAGUCGUGUCUGACUCUGUGCGACCCCAUAGACGGCAGCCCCCAGGCUCCCCUGUCCCUGGGAUUCUCCAGGCAAGAACACUGGAGUGGGUUGCCAUUUCCUUCUCCAGUGCAUGAAAGUGAAAAGUGAAAGUGAAGUCGCUCAGUCGUGUCCGACUCUUAGCGACCUCAUGGACUGCAG
rnacentral:lncRNA from 1 species